rnacentral:tmRNA from 1 species
GGGGCUGUUUGGCUUUGACAGCGGGCAGGAGAGGUUUGUAAGCAUGCAGUGCGUUGGCGGUUAGCACUUUAAUCACAAGCGUCAACCAUUUAACUGGCAACAACAAUUACGCUCUUGCUGCUUAAUCGAAGUUUAGUAGAUUAAGCUUAAUCCCGUCACAGGUGGCGGGACAAGACAUCACCCGGAAGCUCUGGCUUCGAAGCGUUCCGAUUAGGUGGUGCAGGUAUAUCGGAGAUAGGAGGGGUGACGCUUCGGCGCUUUUCCGAAAUUAAGAAGAUAAGGAUUGAGUAUGGUGUCUUCAGUCGCGCUCACUCCCGACAAUUAAAAUGAAGAUAAGCA